rnacentral:rRNA from 1 species
CCUACGGGAGGCAGCAGUGGGGAAUAUUGGACAAUGGGCGAAAGCCUGAUCCAGCCAUGCCGCGUGUGUGAAGAAGGCUUUCGGGUUGUAAAGCACUUUCAGUGAGGAAGAACGCCUCUGGCUUAAUACGUCGGAGGGAAGACAUCACUCACAGAAGAAGCACCGGCUAACUCCGUGCCAGCAGCCGCGGUAAUACGGAGGGUGCGAGCGUUAAUCGGAAUUACUGGGCGUAAAGCGCGCGUAGGUGGCUUGAUAAGCCGGUUGUGAAAGCCCCGGGCUCAACCUGGGAACGGCAUCCGGAACUGUCAGGCUAGAGUGCAGGAGAGGAAGGUAGAAUUCCCGGUGUAGCGGUGAAAUGCGUAGAGAUCGGGAGGAAUACCAGUGGCGAAGGCGGCCUUCUGGACUGACACUGACACUGAGGUGCGAAAGCGUGGGUAGCAAACAGGAUUAGAUACCCUGGUAGUCCACGCCGUAAACGAUGUCGACUAGCCGUUGGGCUCCUUGAGAGCUUUGUGGCGCAGUUAACGCGAUAAGUCGACCGCCUGGGGAGUACGGCCGCAAGGUUAAAACUCAAAUGAAUUGACGGGGGCCCGCACAAGCGGUGGAGCAUGUGGUUUAAUUCGAUGCAACGCGAAGAACCUUAC